CACGUAGGGCGCGAGCGUUGUCCGGAAUUAUUGGGCGUAAAGAGCUCGUAGGCGGUCUGUCGCGUCUGCUGUGAAAACUCGGGGCUUAACCCCGGGCCUGCAGUGGGUACGGGCAGACUAGAGUGCGGUAGGGGAGACUGGAAUUCCUGGUGUAGCGGUGAAAUGCGCAGAUAUCAGGAGGAACACCGGUGGCGAAGGCGGGUCUCUGGGCCGUAACUGACGCUGAGGAGCGAAAGCAUGGGGAGCGAACAGG
rnacentral:rRNA from 1 species